rnacentral:rRNA from 1 species
AUUGAACGCUGGCGGCAUGCUUUACACAUGCAAGUCGAACGGUAACAGGGUGCUUGCACCGCUGACGAGUGGCGAACGGGUGAGUAAUGCGUCGGAACGUGCCGAGUAGUGGGGGAUAACGCAGCGAAAGUUGUGCUAAUACCGCAUACGUACUGAGGUAGAAAGUGGGGGACCUUCGGGCCUCACGCUAUUCGAGCGGCCGACGUCUGAUUAGCUAGUAGGUGAGGUAAAGGCUCACCUAGGCGACGAUCAGUAGCGGGUCUGAGAGGAUGAUCCGCCACACUGGGACUGAGACACGGCCCAGACUCCUACGGGAGGCAGCAGUGGGGAAUUUUGGACAAUGGGCGAAAGCCUGAUCCAGCCAUGCCGCGUGUCUGAAGAAGGCCUUCGGGUUGUAAAGGACUUUUGUCAGGGAGGAAAUCCCUAGUGCUAAUAACACUGGGGGAUGACAGUACCUGAAGAAUAAGCACCGGCUAACUACGUGCCAGCCGCCGCAGUAA